UACGAAGGGGGCGAGCGUUGUUCGGAUUUACUGGGCGUAAAGGGCGCGCAGGCGGCUCCAAAAAGUCAGGCGUGAAAGCCCCGGGCUUAACCUGGGAGGUGCGUCUGGGACUGUGGGGCUAGAGUUCGGGAGAGGAGCGUGGAAUUCCCAGUGUAGAGGUGAAAUUCGUAGAUAUUGGGAAGAACACCGGUGGCGAAGGCGGCGCUCUGGACCGAGACUGACGCUGAGGCGCGAAAGCGUGGGGAGCAAACAGG
rnacentral:rRNA from 1 species